AUUGAACGCUGGCGGCAGGCUUAACACAUGCAAGUCGAGCGGGGGAAGGUAGCUUGCUACUGGACCUAGCGGCGGACGGGUGAGUAAUGCUUAGGAAUCUGCCUAUUAGUGGGGGACAACAUCUCGAAAGGGAUGCUAAUACCGCAUACGUCCUACGGGAGAAAGCAGGGGAUCUUCGGACCUUGCGCUAAUAGAUGAGCCUAAGUCGGAUUAGCUAGUUGGUGGGGUAAAGGCCUACCAAGGCGACGAUCUGUAGUGGGUCUGAGAGGAUGAUCGGCCACACUGGGACUGGGACACGGCCCAGACUCCUACGGGAGGCAGCAGUGGGGAAUAUUGGACAAUGGGGGGAACCCUGAUCCAGCCAUGCCGCGUGUGUGAAGAAGGCCUUAUGGUUGUAAAGCACUUUAAGCGAGGAGGAGGCUACUUUAGUUAAUACCUAGAGAUAGUGGACGUUACUCGCAGAAUAAGCACCGGCUAACUCUGUGCCAGCCGCCGCCGUAA
rnacentral:rRNA from 1 species